GACGAACGCUGGCGGCGUGCUUAACACAUGCAAGUCGAACGAUGAAGCCUUUCGGGGUGGAUUAGUGGCGAACGGGUGAGUAACACGUGGGCAACCUGCCCUGUACUUUGGGAUAAGCCUUGGAAACGAGGUCUAAUACCGGAUAUGAUGAGUCCUCGCAUGGGGGUUUGUUGAAAGUUCCGGCGGUACAGGAUGAGCCCGCGGCCUAUCAGCUUGUUGGUGGGGUAAUGGCCUACCAAGGCGACGACGGGUAGCCGGCCUGAGAGGGCGACCGGCCACACUGGGACUGAGACACGGCCCAGACUCCUACGGGAGGCAGCAGUGGGGAAGUAUUGCACAAUGGGCGAAAGCCUGAUGCAGCGACGCCGCGUGAGGGAUGAC
rnacentral:rRNA from 1 species